rnacentral:rRNA from 1 species
AGAGUUUGAUCCUGGCUCAGAGCGAACGCUGGCGGCAGUAACACAUGCAAGUCGAGCGGGUGUAGCAAUACAUCAGCGGCAGACGGGUGAGUAACGCGUGGGAACGUACCUUUUGGUUCGGAACAACACAGGGAAACUUGUGCUAAUACCGGAUAAGCCCUUACGGGGAAAGAUUUAUCGCCGAAAGAUCGGCCCGCGUCUGAUUAGCUAGUUGGUGAGGUAACGGCUCACCAAGGCGACGAUCAGUAGCUGGUCUGAGAGGAUGAUCAGCCACAUUGGGACUGAGACACGGCCCAAACUCCUACGGGAGGCAGCAGUGGGGAAUAUUGGACAAUGGGGGCAACCCUGAUCCAGCCAUGCCGCGUGAGUGAUGAAGGCCCUAGGGUUGUAAAGCUCUUUUGUGCGGGAAGAUAAUGACGGUCCGCAAGAAUAAGCCCCGGCUAACUUCGUGCCAGCAGCCGCGGUAAUACGAAGGGGGCUAGCGUUGCUCGGAAUCACUGGGCGUAAAGGGUGCGUAGGCGGGUUUUUAAGUCAGGGGUGAAAUCCUGGAGCUCAACUCCAGAACUGCCUUUGAUACUGAAGAUCUUGAGUCCGGGAGAGGUGAGUGGAACUGCGAGUGUAGAGGUGAAAUUCGUAGAUAUUCGCAAGAACACCAGUGGCGAAGGCGGCUCACUGGCCCGGUACUGACGCUGAGGCACGAAAGCGUGGGGAGCAAACAGGAUUAGAUACCCUAGUAGUCC